CCUACGGGGGGCAGCAGUGGGGAAUAUUGGACAAUGGGCGCAAGCCUGACGCAGCAACGCCGCGUGAAGGAAGAAGGCUUUCGGGUUGUAAACUUCUCUUCUCAGGGACGAAGGAAGUGACGGUACCUUAGGAAUAAGCCACGGCUAACUACGUGCCAACAGCCGCGGUAAUACGUAGGUGGCAAGCGUGAUCCGGAUUUACUGGGUGUAAAGGGAGUGUAGGCGGGAAAGUAAGUCAGAUGUGAAAACCAUGGGCUCAACCUGUGGACUGCAUUUGAAACUGUUUUUCUUGAGUACUGGAGAGGCGGACGGAAUGCCUAGUGUAGCGGUGAAAUGCGUAGAUAUUAGGAGGAACACCAGUGGCGAAGGCGGUCUGCUGGACAGCAACUGACGCUGAGGCGCGAAAGCGUGGGGAGCAAACAGGAUUAGAUACCCUUGUAGUC
rnacentral:rRNA from 1 species